GUCUGGAACAGAGGCUGAAUUCACACUGCUAACAAAUUCCCAGGUGAUGCUGAUGCUGGUGAUCAAACCUGUGCCUCUUUGAGAACCAUCAAUAUGACACGUAGAAUGUAAGCUCCCUGAAGACAAGGGAGUGAUACUUCUCCACCUGAUCCAAGUGGUCCAGCCUUCCCACAGACCCUGGUGAAUGGACACCUUCAUCUUCCUCUAGUCCCACUCUGAGUUACAGAAGCAGUGGAAACAUCACUUUGCAAGAGACUGAUGGCUCUCUAAUGAGAACUUAGAGCAAAUCACUCAGUUGUCAGUUCAGCAUCUGGCAGAGCUCAGACAACCUUGGAGCCAAGAUUACCUUUAAUCUCAUAUGACCCUAGAGAAAAAUGCCAGCCUGCAAUAGACAGUGAAUCCCCCAUAGUGGAGCUGAUGUGGUAACGACAAUGAUGAAUCCGGACAUCUGCAUAUGUGUCUGUCUCUAACAAUAUUGUGUGACAAGAUCUCCCAAAAUGAAUCUUCUUCAAGGGAUGCAGAGGCACCCCCACCCUCGCCUCCAAAUAUCCUCAUGCCUGUGUCGGCCCCAGAAAACGUCAUGAAGACACCAGAAAAACCCAUUAAAGUGAGACUCAGCAGCUACGCAGAACUGAGGCACGGAAGUGUAGGCGUGGCUGCGUUUUUCAGUUUCCAUCACAGAAUGAGACAUGCAGCAGUCAUGACUGUUUGGGUUAAGGAUACAAAACAAUUGUGCAAAUCACUGAGAC
ensembl:lncRNA